rnacentral:rRNA from 1 species
AGUGAACGCUGGCGGCGUGCUUAACACAUGCAAGUCGAACGGGGUGAUGGUGCUUGCACUAUCACUUAGCGGCGGACGGGUGAGUAAUGCUUAGGAAUCUGCCUAUUAGUGGGGGACAACAUCUCGAAAGGGAUGCUAAUACCGCAUACGUCCUACGGGAGAAAGCAGGGGAUCACUUGUGACCUUGCGCUAAUAGAUGAGCCUAAGUCGGAUUAGCUAGUUGGUGGGGUAAAGGCCUACCAAGGCGACGAUCUGUAGCGGGUCUGAGAGGAUGAGCCGCCACACUGGGACUGAGACACGGCCCAGACUCCUACGGGAGGAAGCAGUGGGGAAUAUUGGACAAUGGGGGGAACCCUGAUCCAGCCAUGCCGCGUGUGUGAAGAAGGCCUUAUGGUUGUAAAGCACUUUAAGCGAGGAGGAGGCUCUUUUGGUUAAUACCCAAGAUGAGUGGACGUUACUCGCAGAAUAAGCACCGGCUAACUCUGUGCCAGCCGCCGCAGUAAUAC